UAACUUUGAGCGGUGGAUCACUCGGCUCGUGCA
rnacentral:rRNA from 1 species